UCAGAACGAACGCUGGCAGCGUGGAUUAGGCAUGCAAGUCGAACGGGAUCGGGAAGGUAGCAAUAUCGGCCCGUGAGAGUGGCGGAAGGGCGAGGAACACGUGAGCAACCUGUCCUGAGGUGGGGAAAACCGUUGGAAACGACGGCUAAUACCGAAUGUGGCGCCCGGAGACAUCUCCGGCGCGCUAAAGGGGGCCGCAAGGCUCCCCCUCUUCGAGGGGCUCGCGCACCAUCAGCUUGUUGGCGGGGUAACGGCCCACCAAGGCUCACGGUUAGCUGGUCUGAGAGGAUGGCCAGCCGCACUGGGACUGAGAUACUGCCCAGACUCCUACGGGAGGCUGCAGUCGAGGAUCAUUCGCAAUGGGGGAAACCCUGACGAUGCGACGCUGCGUGGAGGAUGAAGGCCCUCGGGUCGUAAACUCCUGUCAUGAGGGAAAAGGAGAGGGGACCCAACACGUCCCUUAUUUGAUGGUACCUCAAGAGGAACGGGCGGCUAACUCUGUGCCAGCCGCGGC
rnacentral:rRNA from 1 species